rnacentral:rRNA from 1 species
UACGUAGGGCGCGAGCGUUAUCCGGAAUUAUUGGGCGUAAAGAGCUCGUAGGCGGUUUGUCGCGUCUGCCGUGAAAGCCCGCGGCUCAACCGCGGGUCUGCAGUCGAUACGGGCAGGCUAGAGUUCGGUAGGGGAGACUGGAAUUCCUGGUGUAGCGGUGAAAUGCGCAGAUAUCAGGAGGAACACCGAUGGCGAAGGCAGGUCUCUGGGCCGAUACUGACGCUGAGGAGCGAAAGCGUGGGGAGCGAACAGG